rnacentral:tRNA from 1 species
GGAGCGGUGGGAGAGUGGUUAAAUCCACCAGACUGUAAAUCUGACGUCCGGAAGGACUACGUUGGUUCGAAUCCAACCCGCUCCACCA